CUCGAAUAAAAGCAGCUUAAUCUGCAUAACUCAAAGAAUUUGGCGGUUAAUUUUAAUUUUCAGAGGAACCUGCAUAUUAAUCGAUAAACCACGAUAGUUUUAACUUUUAAUUUGCUUAUAUACCUCUAUAUUUUGGAAUGUUUUAUUAGAACUAUUUUCUUUAUGUAUAUUCUUUAAUAUUAGGUCAAGGUGUAGUUUUUGGAAGUUUAUGUGGGUUACUUUAGUUUAAAUUUUUAUUACGAUAAUUUGGAGUUUUUUUUUUAAUUUAAAAUAGGAUUUGAUAGUAAAGUUGAUUAAUUAAUCAACUUGGAAUUU
rnacentral:rRNA from 1 species